rnacentral:rRNA from 1 species
CAAGUCCUCAUGGCCCUUAUGGGUACGGGCGUUCACACGUCAUACAAUGGUCGGUACAGAGGGUUGCCAAGCCGCGAGGUGGAGCCAAUCCCUUAAAGCCGAUCGUAGUCCGGAUCGUAGUCUGCAACUCGACUACGUGAAGUCGGAAUCGCUAGUAAUCGCAGAUCAGCAUGCUGCGGUGAAUACGUUCCCGGGUCUU